AGACCCGAAACCCGGUGAUCUAGCCAUGGGCAGGUUGAAGGUUGGGUAACACUAACUGGAGGACCGAACCGACUAAUGUUGAAAAAUUAGCGGAUGACCUGUGGCUGGGGGUGAAAGGCCAAUCAAACCGGGAGAUAGCUGGUUCUCCCCGAAAGCUAUUUAGGUAGCGCCUCGUGAAUUCAUCUCCGGGGGUAGAGCACUGUUUCGGCUAGGGGGCCAUCCCGGCUUACCAACCCGAUGCAAACUGCGAAUACCGGAGAAUGUUAUCACGGGAGACACACGGCGGGUGCUAACGUCCGUCGUGAAGAGGGAAACAACCCAGACCGCCAGCUAAGGUCCCAAAGUCAUGGUUAAGUGGGAAACGAUGUGGGAAGGCCCAGACAGCCAGGAUGUUGGCUUAGAAGCAGCCAUCAUUUAAAGAAAGCGUAAUAGCUCACUGGUCGAGUCGGCCUGCGCGGAAGAUGUAACGGGGCUAAACCAUGCACCGAAGCUGCGGCAGCGAACGUAUCACUUAAAGCGAUUCAGCGGGUUACGAUUGACGGAGCGAAGCGACGUCAAAGCGUAUACAAAGUCGAGUCGGUU
rnacentral:rRNA from 2 species